UUAGGUAACGCAACAACACGAGUCGUUGCGAAAAAAUGUUUUAUGUAUUGCAACAACAAUGUCAUUGCAAAAUAUCUGAGGUAUAUCUUAAUAAAAUGUGAAAACACACUAAACCUAAUUUCAUUUCACACGACGUCCUUGAACAUAUGCCCGCCAUUCACUGCUGCAAAUCACUUCCUCUACCGUCAUCCACCACGCAUUCCGCUUCAUUUUAGUUUUCCUCCACCGUCAUCCACCACGCGUUCCACUUCAGUUCGCCUCUGCCUUCAGUUCACCGGCUCUCCUCCUCUUUUUAAGUGGUUUACAGUCACUUCUGAUGGUUCUGCACUUGGAUCUGCAUUAAUUCCAUCAUCCAUGAAUCAUGAUGAUUUUAAUUCAAGCCAAGACAGCCAAGGAAGUGAUGAAUUAAUUAUAAAAAACCAGUCACGAAGGUUUAAGGCAGCAAACAACCAAGGAAAGCCAGCAGCAACGUCAGAACAAGAGAAAUCAGACACUCAGCAAAAAAUCUGCUGACCAGCCCACAUUGCAGCAUGACCCAAGCCUCGACCAUGGAGAUCUUGACCUAACCAAUCAUGGGGACGUCAUCUCUAUACAUGGGCCUAGCCAUAAAGGUCCAAGAACCAUGCUGGAAGUGCACACAAUCACCUAGAACAGAAGCACAAGGGAACCCAGUCGCAGAUGAGAACCAUCAGCUGCUGAUCGAACCCACUGACCAGGGGACCUUGCAGGGAUUGGCUAGAUUAGACCCGAGUAUAUUAGGGGACACUAAGGGUAGAAUUGGAAUCUUGGCACAUGGACCUAGCCAUCAAGGGCCAAGAACCCUGUUAAUAACUCACACAGCUCUCUGAAAUCUGCGUGCAAGGUCGUGUAGUCAGCAACCUUUCUGACGGUGAAGUUGAAAGAUGUUGUUGCAUCAGCUGGGGAUUCAAUGACACAAGAUGUAAUUCACUUUUUCAAUGACUUCCCAUGCUUGGCUGUGGACACUUAGAGUCUUGAUGGAGAGAUCCUUGUGCGAAGAUUCCAUUUAUACCCUUUAUUCUUCCUAGCAUACGAGUAUCGGCUCUGGACAACUCAUGAAAGGAGGGCUGGUCAGCUGUCUUCAGGCAAACAUAUCUUCGUUGGAAAUUUUUGGUACUCAAUGACAAAGUUGGUGAUAGCUACAAGCAUUUUGGAUGCGCGAUGUUUUGGGUUAUGAAGUAGCUAUAUGUGCACUUGUAAAUUUUUGGACUUUUUCAAAGUGCCUAUCACUUGUAAAUUUUUGCAUGAAAACUUGUAUAUGGUAGGAGAAUUAUUUUGGAAAAUUGGUUAUCCGAUCCGUUACAUGUAUAUGAAUUACGUAUAUUUUUGACACACGAUAAUAUUUGGGACGUGUGAUAUUUUGGGAUACGAAUUAAUAUAUAAUGAUAAUCGGUGAUAUUAGUUUAGUUGGUUAUAAAUUAUUUAUUA